rnacentral:rRNA from 1 species
UACCAGACUCCUACGGGAGGCAGCAGUGGGGAAUAUUGCACAAUGGGGGGAACCCUGAUGCAGCGACGCCGCGUGAAGGAAGAAGUAUCUCGGUAUGUAAACUUCUAUCAGCAGGGAAGAAAGUGGACGGUACCUGACUAAGAAGCCCCGACUAACUACGUGCCAGCAGCCGCGGUAAUACGUAGGGGGCGAGCGUUAUCCGGAUUUACUGGGUGUAAAGGGAGCGUAGACGGCCAGACAAGUCUGAAGUGAAAAUCCAGCGCUUAACGUUGGAAGUGCUUUGGAAACUGCCGGGCUGGAGUGCAGGAGGGGCAGGCGGAAUUCCUAGUGUAGCGGUGAAAUGCGUAGAUAUUAGGAGGAACACCGGUGGCGAAGGCGGCCUGCUGGACUGUGACUGACGUUGAGGCCCGAAGGCGUGGGGAGCAAACAGGAUUAGAUACCCGCGUA